rnacentral:tRNA from 1 species
UACAUUUUAGUGUAGAGGCACAUAAAGUUUUGAUUUUUAAAGAGAUAGUGUAAUUCUAUCAAGUGUA